CUUCCGGAGAGCUCGCCAGUCGCCGCCCCGGCCGCCUCGGAAUCUGGAGCCUAGAGAGACUUCCAGAGCCAGUCUCAGACAGACCCCGGGGAAGGCGCGGGGCUGCAGCACCGCCCCGCCCGCCGCACCUGGAAGCGGUGAGGACCGGGAGAGGCGGGGCGCGGCAGGAGGCUGGCCCGGCGCCUGAGCAGCUCCGCCGAAAGCCGGCCCGACUGAAGCAGGGCGAAGGGGGAGGGUCUCGAGGCGAGUUCUGCUCCUCCGAGGGAAAGGACCCCAGCUGGAGUGGAAAACCAGCACCAGCUGACCGCAGAGAGCCGGGCUGAUCAUGGAGAGGGCCGGCCCCGACUCCGCGCGGCCGCAACAGCAAUGGGACCAGGACUCGGUCGAAGCGUGGCUGGACGAUCACUGGAACUUUACCUUCUCUUACUUUGUUAGGAAAGGCACCAGAGAAAUGGUCAAUGCAUGGUUUGCUGAGAGAGUACACACCAUCCCUGUGUGCAAGGAAGGAGUCAAAGGCCACGCGGAAUCCUGCUCUUGUCCCUUGCAGCCAAGUACCCGUGCAGAGAGCAGUGUCCCUGGAACACCAACCAGGAAGAUCUCUGCCUCCGAAUUCGAUCGGCCACUUAGACCCAUUGUUAUCAAGGAUUCUGAGGGGACUGUGAGCUUCCUCUCUGACUCAGACAAGAAGGAACAGAUGCCUCUAACCUCCCCCCGGUUUGAUAAUGAUGAAGGGGACCAGUGCUCGAGACUCUUGGAAUUAGUGAAAGAUAUUUCUAGUCACUUGGAUGUCACAGCCUUAUGUCACAAAAUUUUCUUGCAUAUCCAUGGACUCAUCUCCGCCGACCGCUACUCCUUAUUCCUCGUCUGUGAGGACAGCUCCAACGACAAGUUUCUUAUCAGCCGCCUCUUUGAUGUUGCAGAAGGUUCAACACUGGAAGAAGCUUCAAAUAACUGUAUCCGCUUAGAGUGGAACAAAGGCAUCGUGGGACACGUGGCCGCUCUUGGCGAGCCCUUGAACAUCAAGGACGCCUAUGAGGACUGCCCUGGCAGAAGCCAGCAAGGAGAACAGUAACUCAGAUUUCUACACAAGAAUGCAAGUUGACUAUCCUAGCUACAUCCAUUCCACGUCUGCCUUAGAGAGGGGGACAGGGAAGGACCACGACCAUCCCCAACUCCAGAGUCCUUUGAAGAACCUCCCUUCAAGCUCCAGUCUCCCUGGAGGCACAGCAAGCUUACCUGCGGUUCUGAAGGCCUGCUCCUCCCACCCUGCCGAUCUUUUUCCCAAGGCCGGCAGCCAUCCUAGGAAUAGCAACACACACCUUCUUAAGUCCCUAAAAUGUUCAUCUUCUAUGAACAGUGGUAUUUUGGACUGCUCUUGGAAAGUAAAUAUUACAAUUUCUUAUUAAUUUAAUAGAGAUUAAUGAUAACUCAAAAUUAAAAAGAAUCUUGACUCAGAUCAGGAAGAUCCCCUAGAGAAGGGAAUGGCUACCCGCUCCAGUAUUUUUGCCAGGAAAAUACCAUGAACAGAGGAGCCUGGCAGGCUACAGUUCAUGGGUUACAAAGAGUCAGAUAUGACUGAGCGACUAUCACAAUAAGAAUCUUAAUGCAAAAUUCCAAAAACAAAAUGCUGUGCUGUGCUUACUUAUUUGCUCAGUCGUGUCCGACUUUUUGCGACCCCAUGGACUGUAGCCCACCAGGCUCCUCCAUCUAUGGGAUUUCCCAGGCAAGAAUACUGGAGUGGUUUGCCAUGCCCUUCUCCAGGUGAUCUUCCCAACCCAGGCAUCCAACUGAGGUCUCCCUCAUUGCAGGUGGAUUCUUGACCAGGGAAGCCCUGAAAUCUAUCUUAUUAAUACCUUUUUAAUUAUACAAAAAAAAAAAAAAACCCACACAUUUCUUUUAAUAAUAAAAUUCUGCGAAUAAAUUUUAAACCAUAUAUAUGCUUCAUUCUGUUGUUUCUUACACUAGAGUCUGCAAGAAUAUUCUUGGGGAUAUACUAAUUAAAUGAAAUUUGAUUUCAAGUUUUCUUUUAUUUUGAUAAUAGCAUAACACAGGUUUAAAGAGGUAUAUUCUAGAUCACCCAAACAACUGCAAUCUAUUUUGAAGUAAAAUGUUUCCAUCUAUAUUUACAACCAUACUGGGACUUAGCAAACAUAAAGAGACACUAUUUAAUAUUUAAUCCAUUUGAUCUUCAACAUUCAACCAAAACCUUUGGAAUUCAGUAAGUCUUUGUGCUGUUAGUUGAUGUUUACAGGUUACAUACACCAUUCAAGAAUUUAAAAUGCUGUCAUAUUCAAUUUAUAAGUAGAAAAGCUCAGCACAAAUAAUAGAAUUAAUGUGCAUGACUGAUCUGUAACCUGAUAAAUAUGGCUUGACUACUAUAUUGUUUGAUUGAGGUAUAAACACAAGGCAAGUUAUAAGAAAACUGUUUCAGUUGAAAAAACCAAGCUUAUAUAAAUAGAAAAAUAUAAACAAACUUAAAAUAAAGUGAUUUUUCAUAUGUUCACAAAGCUUUUUCUUCCCAUAAAUGUUUUAUAAAAUGAUACUAAAAAAUAUUUGAGAAACACCCAACUUAUGGCUUGUCUAUGGAAUAUCUCAGAAAAUAUUUUCCACUUACUCAGCUAACAUCUUAAUUUUAUUAUUAGUUAGUAGAUUUAACAAAACUAAUUCAUUUAUAUGCACAUAU